rnacentral:rRNA from 1 species
CCUACGGGAGGCUGCAGUAGGGGAUAUUGCACAAUGGGGGAAACCCUGAUGCAGCAACGCCGCGUGGGGGAAGGAGGGUUUCGGCGCGUAAAGCCCUAUCGUCAGGGAAGAAGAUGACGGUAUCUGACCAAUAAGCCCCGGCUAACUACGUGCCAGCAGCCGCGGUAAUACGUAGGGGGCAAGCGUUACCCGGAUUUACUGGGCGUAAAGGGGGCGCAGGCGGGGAUGCAAGCCAGGAGUGAAAGCCCGUGGCCUAACCCCGGGACUGCUCUUGAAACUGCAUCGCUGGAGUGCAGGAGGGGCAGGUGGAAUUCUUAGUGUAGGGGUGAAAUGCGUAGAUAUUAGGAGGAAUACUCGUGGCGAAGGCGGCCUGCUGGAACGUGACUGACGCUGAGGCACGAAGGCGUGGGGAGCAAACAGGAUUAGAUACCCGAGUAGUC